UAAGGAAUAUUGGACAAUGCCCGCAAGGGUGAUCCAGCCAUGCCGCGUGCAGGAAGAAGGCCCUAUGGGUCGUAAACUGCUUUUACACCGGAGAAAACCUAUCCUCGUGAGGGUAGCUGAUAGUAUGGUGAGAAUAAGCAUCGGCUAACUUCGUGCCAGCAGCCGCGGUAAGACGAAGGAUGCAAGCGUUAUCCGGAUUCAUUGGGUUUAAAGGGAGCGUAGGUGGACUGAUAAGUCAGUGGUGAAAUCUUUGGGCUUAACCCAAAAAUUGCCAUUGAUACUGUUGGUCUUGAGUAUAGUUGCCGUUGGCGGAAUAUGACAUGUAGUGGUGAAAUACAUAGAGAUGUCAUAGAACACCGAUUGCGAAGGCAGCUGACGAAACUAUAACUGACACUGAGGCUCGAAAGUGUGGGGAUCAAACAGGAUUAGAUACCCCUGUAGUCC
rnacentral:rRNA from 1 species